rnacentral:lncRNA from 1 species
CGCGCAUGCUCCGUACAAAAUGCCCAGCUGUUAUCUGAAAUAGCCUUCACCAUUUUGCUCACAUGUUGCUCGUACUGCGUAACAUUUUCUCUUUGUCCCACAGUCGCCAGAAGUCAACAGCACGUUCCCCUCUUUAUGUACGUACACGAACGACUAGCUUCUAUUUUCUUCCUAUUUCAUGCUCGAUAAUAAAUCUCUCCUGCAUUUUUCUUUCCCUCUCAGAUCUUUUUUCUCUUUAAAACAUCCCUGUAUAUCUCUCUCGCUCUUUCUUGUUUAAUUAUUUUUAGUCUUUUACGACGAAUUCCUCGAUCGUGUUCGGCCUGGAAAGCCGACCUAGCUUCGAAAGUAUAUGCUCGCUCUGUCUCGCUGGUUGCACUGAGAUUUCUCCCAGAUCGUGACGUAUCCCACCAUUAGCAAGUGCGCCACUCGCUGUGUGGAAUGUCGUGUUAAAAUGCGCCAUUUCAACUGACUUUACGUAAGCUCAUACGACCAGACGAAACGGAGAAAAAGCAUAUUAUUUCUUGAGAUUUGCCGUCCUUGCUUCCUGAUCGAUGAUCAAGUGCCAAAUUCCCGCGCGCGCGCUUUGUUUACAUAUUGCUGCACAAAUAUUACCUUCCCC